rnacentral:rRNA from 1 species
CGCGGCCUAUCAGCUUGUUGGUGGGGUAACGGCCUACCAAGGCGAUUACGGGUAGCCGGCCUGAGAGGGCGACCGGCCACACUGGGACUGAGACACGGCCCAGACUCCUGCGGGAGGCAGCAGUGGGGAAUAUUGCGCAAUGGGCGAAAGCCUGACGCAGCGACGCCGCGUGGGGGAUGACGGCCUUCGGGUUGUAAACCUCUUUUACCACCAACGCAGGCUCCCGGUUCUCCGGGGGUUGACGGUAGGUGGGGAAUAAGGACCGGCUAACUACGUGCCAGCAGCCGCGGUAAUACGUAGGGUCUGAGCGUUGUCCGGAAUUAUUGGGCGUAAAGAGCUCGUAGGCGGCGUGUCGCGUCUGCUGUGAAAGACCGGGGCUUAACCCCGGUUCUGCAGUGGAUACGGGCAUGCUAGAGGUAGGUAGGGGAGACUGGAAUUCCUGGUGUAGCGGUGAAAUGCGCAGAUAUCAGGAGGAACACCGGUGGCGAAGGCGGGUCUCUGGGUAGUAACUGACGCUGAGGAGCGAAAGCAUGGGUAGCGAACAGGAUUAGAUACCCUGGUAGUCCAUGCCGUAAACGGUGGGCGCUAGGUGUGGGGUCCUUCCACGGACUCCGUGCCGUAGCUAACGCAUUAAGCGCCCCGCCUGGGGAGUACGG